rnacentral:lncRNA from 1 species
AAUCCUCAGUUCUUGAAGCAAAUAAGUGAGCCAAAGAAUUUCAGAGGUUGCUGAAGCAAGAGCUCGAUAUUCAGACUCUGCUGAGGAACGGGAAACAAUUGUUUGUUUCUUAGAGGACCAAGAAAUAAUGUUGGAGCCUAAGAAUACACAAUACCCUCCAGUGGACUUCCGAUCAUCUGGAUCUGCUGCCCAAUCAGCAUCAGAAAAUGCUGUUAAGGUCACAGAACCUGAAUUGAAAAACUGAAUGCCAAAGUGUGAAGUGGAUUGUAGAUAUCGAAGGACUCUUUUACAAGCUUGCCAAUGAGAAAUGGUUGGAUGAGCCAGAAAUUGACUGAGCUUGUUGACAGGGUAUGCUAUGUCAGGCCUUGUCAGCAACACAUAUUGAAGAGAACCCACAAUACUUUUGUACAAUGAAGGAUUAUCAAAAGCUGCACCACUGUUCUUUUUGAGCUUAUCACCUGGACUCAUAGGAGUGUUAAAACCUUUGCUAUCAAGCAUAUUAGCUUUGCUAAGGAUAUUACCAAUGUAUUUGGUUUGAGAUAGAUGCAACCCCUGAAUUGAAGGUGUCACUUCAAUGCCAAGAAAGUAGUUAAACUCUCCCAAAUCCUUAAGAGCAAAUUCAGAAUGGAGGUAUUGAAUGACAGCCUCAAUAUGGUGAGAAUUAGAACCAGUGACUAAAAUGUCAUCAACAUAUAUAAGAAUGAGCACCAUAUCAUGCCCAAAAUGUUGAAGGAACAGAGAGGUGUCAGACUUUGAAGAUUGAAAUCCCUUAUUGAGUAAGGAACCUUUUAACCUCUCAUACCAAGCUCUAGGAGCUUGUUUGAGUCCAUAUAAAGCUUUGUUUAAUUUGCAAACAUAAGAUGGAUGUGCAGAGUCUAUAAAACCUUGUGGCUGAUGCAUGAACACAUCUUCUUCUAGCACACCAUUUAGAAAAGCAUUAUUGACAUCCAGCUGCCGAAUCUGCCAAUGAUGCAUCACUGCUAGACUUAAAACAACCCUGACUGUGCAAGGUUUCACAACUGGGCUGAAGGUUUCAAAGAAAUCCACCCCUUAAGUUUGAUGGUAACCCUUGGCAACCAACCUGACUUUGUACUUAGAAAUGCUCCCAUCAAGAUUAUAUUUUACCCUAUAUACCCAUUUGUUGCCAACUACUUUAGCAGCACUUUCAGAGGGUACCAAAGUCCAGGUUUGAUUUUGUUGAAGAGCAUCAAAUUCCUCCUUCAUAGCAGGAAACCACUUGGGGUCUUGCAAGGCACUUUUAACACAAGUUGGUUCAAGAUCUGCAGUAGCUGCUAGAUAGGACUUGGGUUUGAAAAUACCAGCUUUAGCUCUGGUAAUCAUAUGAUGAGAUGGUAAUGAAGAUAAGUGAGUUGGCUCAGCUGAAGGAAGGGAAAAAGAAGAGGUCUGUAUUGAGCUGAAACUUGUUGAAGGAGACAUUGCUGGAGGAAGAUUAGUAGAUGGUGACUCUACAUUGCUACUGUCAACAUGAGCAGAAUUCUGAAGGAAAGAGAGUUGUACUGGUGAAGAUAAGCCAGUAACAUCUGAGACUUUUGAGAUUGAGUGCUUAGAAAAUAAAUCUUUGUAAGGAAACUCAGUUUCAUUGAAGAUAACAUACCUAGCAAUGAACACUUUACCAGAGGGAGCUAAACACUUAUAACCUUUAUGAAGUGGACUGUAACCAAUGAAGAUGCAUUUUUGGGUAUGAAAGUUGAGUUUAUGCUGGUUAUAAGGCCUGAGAAAUGGAAAACAGGAGCAACCAAACACUUUAGGAAAUUGGUAGUCAGGUAGUUGAUUGUGUAGUUUCUGAAAUGGAGAUAGAUUGUUUAGAACUGAUGUGGGCAUCCUGUUGAUCAGAAAGGAGGCAGUAUGAAAAGCUUCCCACCAGAAAGAAAGAGGCAACUGAGAUUGAGCUAAAAGUGUUAAGCCUGUUUCAACAAUGUGCCUGUGUUUCCUCUCAACAACACCAUUUUGAUGGUGUGUGUAUGGACAGCUAUGCCUAAAACAUAUACCCUCUUGCUGAAGAUAGGUUUUAAAGGCUAGAAACUCACCCCCCAUAUCUGACUGUAAUGUUUUGACAGGUAAAGAAAACUGCUUUUCAACAAGAAGUUUGAAGUGUUUGAAGGUUUCUAAGGCUUCUGACUUUGCUGUGAGAGGAAAGAUCCAAGAAUAACGUGUAAAAUCAUCCACAAAUGAGAUGUAAUAUCUGUAUCCAUUCAUUGAAAAUUCAGGGGCUGGUCCCCAUAAAUCUGUGUAUAAGAGUUCAAGUGGUGCUUUUGUUUUAAUAGUAGUAACAGAAAAAUGAAGCUGAUGCAUUUUACCAUAUUGACAAGCAUCACAAAAACUAAUAACUUGGUUCGAGAGACAAUGUGAGGGAAGAUUUUUCACAAUUGUUUGCAAAGCAUGUUUAUUUGGAUGACCAUAUCUAUUAUGUAACAACUGAACUGAUAUUUUGCCAACUCUAGAAGAAUUUCCAGAGACAGAACAUGAAAAAACUUCAGAAGUAUCUACAUUAUUCAAUUUUGACACAUGAUUGUUUGACUCUUGUAGAGAGUUUACAACUUUAUUAUCAAAACAAAAUGACAACAUGGAACUCGGUUUAGAGAGAUUGGAAUUGUAGGCUGUAGAGUGAAGAGAUGAGACAUCAAGUGACAGUAGCUUGUAAAGACCACCUUCAACAAUCCCCUGUGCCAGCAAAGUUCCCUCCUUCUUGUCCUUAAUAAAGCACAUGGUGGAACAAAAUUCAAUGAUUAUGUUAUUAUCUAAAAGAAGCUUAGAUAUACUGAUGAGGUUUUUGGUUAUUUUAGGAACACACAAAGUAUUGGUUAAGGAUAAAUGUGUGCCAAAAGAAGUGGAAAGAUAAGUGCAGCCAAUAUGUGUGAUAGUGAGACCUUGACCAUUUCCAACAAACAAUAAUUGAGUGCCAUUAUAAGGAUUACCUUCAACCAGAUUUUGCACAUUGUUGGUGAGAUGAUGAGUGGCUCCACUGUCUAGAUACCACCCCUGGUCAGCAACUCCUUCUGAGGUAGUCACAUAAGCAGAUCUCGGCCCUUGAUUCUGCAUUUGUGAAUGUGGAAUAAAAUUUCUAUUAAAUCUGUUCUUACAAUCAACAGCUGAAUGAUUUGGUUUAAAGCAAAUUUGGCAGGUAAUGUGUCCUCUGCCACCUCCUCUACCAAAGCCACCAGAGAAUCCCAGAUUUCCACCAUUAAAACCACCAUUUCCAGCAAAUCCACCAGUAUUUCCAUUAUAGCCACCAGUAUUUCCAUUAGAGCCACCUCCUCUUCCUUGAUUUCCAAACCAGCCUCUCCCUGAGUUUUGUUCCAUAAAGCCACCUCUGCCAGAUCCAUAAUCUCCUCUAUUAUUGAAGUUACCAUUCUCAUUUCUAUUCACAAAAUUUCCAUUCCAAUUUCCCUGGUUGUUGGUAUUCCAAUUAGCAUUAUUUCCUGACUUCUUCUGAUUAUUACCAGUUUGAGCCAUAUUAGCAGUAAAAUUCAACUUAGUUUCCUUAGCUGCACUCGAAUGAUUACUCUCAAGUCUAGUUUCAUGAGAUAGCAACAUAGAAUAAGCUUCAUUGAUGCUCAUUUUAAGAACAUUUGCCUCAAUAUAGACUACAACAGGAUAAUAAGGCUGUCCUAGACCUGAGAUCAAAUGUGUAACGAAGUCAAGAGAACUAACUGGACUUCCAGCCAUUGCUAAUUCAUCAGUUACUGACCUUAGUUUACAAAAGUAUUCAGUGAUUGUCAUGGAUCCUUUCUUAAGGUUAUUUAGCAACAUCUAUAAAUGCACUUUCUUAGCUACGGUUUCAGAUCCAAAUUGUUCCUCUAAACUCAUCCAAAGCUCUCGAGAGGUUUUAGAAUUUACCACAAUGCUCAAGAUCUCCACACUGAUUGAAGAUAAAAGCCAGCUCAGGAUCAUCUGAUCUUGUCUUUUCCAAGCAGUGUAAGCAGAAUUUUCUGAGAUGAUUGCAGCCUCUGUGCUUGUUGAUUCACCAGGCAGUAGCUGAUUUGGACAGGUACGUGAUCCAUCAAGGAAUCCUUCUAGAUCAUUUGCUCGAAUGGCUGAGAGGAUCUGAGAUUUCCAUAUAGUGUAAUUUGAUCUGUCAAGCUUGAGUGGAGUUGCGAAAGUAAAUGUUGAAAUUGCGGAAGAAACAUUUGUACUAAGACUUGAAGAAGCCAUGAACUAGAAAUUAUUCAAGGCUCUAAUACCAAAUUAGAAAUUGAUCAGCUGACUUGGAGUGUUUGUUUACAAAGAAAAUUCAAUUGAAAGUGAGAGAAAAUUCAUUAAAGAGAAUACGUUUUUAUUAACUCACUAACAAAAUGAGAUUACAAGUUUCUAUACCGCUUCUCAGAAUCUUCUUAACAGAUACAUCAUUUUCACGUGUUUGUUAACUUCCUAAGAAACAGAAUAACAAACUUAAACAAGCUAACAAAUGAUUUGCUGACUGGACUGCCACGUCACUAUAACUAACUUAACUAAUUCAAACUGUCAUUAUCAACACAUAUUCUUAUCAUUGAUCAGUUAGCUUCAGGGAGUCGAGUGAUAAUAACAACAAGGGAUAAACAAGUUCUUGAAAAUUGUUGGGUCAAUCAAAUAUAUCGGAUGAAGGAAUUAAUAGAUGCUGAUGCUCAUAAGCUUUUCUGUCAGUGUGCUUUUAGAGGAGGCCAUCUCGACGCAAGUUACACAGAGGUCACACCCAAGGCAAUAAAAUAUGUGCACGGAGUUCCUUUAGCUCUUAAAGUUUUGGGUCGCCAUCUAUGCGAAAGGAGCAAAGAGGUAUGGGAAAGUGCAAUGAGAAAACUGGAAAUAGUUCCUCACAUGGAUACCCAGAAGGUGUUAAAAAUCAGUUAUGAUAGCUUGGAUGACUCUCAGAAGAAUGUUUUUCUAGAUAUUGCAUGUUACUUGGAAGGAAAGGAUAGAGAUGUGGUGAUAAGCUUUUUUGAUGCCAGUGGCUUUGAAGCUAAAAUAGAGUUGAGUGUUCUUGAAGGUAAGUCUCUCAUAACUUGCUCCGAUAAUCAAAUAAGAAUGCAUGACUUGCUACGAGAUAUGGGAAGAGAAAUUGUUCGAAAUGAAUCUAUCGAUCAUCUAGGAAAGCACAGUAGGUUGUGGCAUCAUAAUGAUAUUUGUGAAGUUUUGAAGGAAGAUACAGUAAGCAAUAAUAAGUUUUCAAUUGUAUCUUGUUUAUGUUACAUUUAUAUUAGUAGUUUGUCUGAAUUUUUCUUUUUGAAUAAGAAUAGCAUUAAUACAACUUAAAAUUAACUGAAAAAUAAUAUUAAAAAAUUGGUAAAUAAAAUAGAUAGAUCCGAUGUUUUCCCACCUCAGUUUGAAACAUGCCUCUAAAAUUCCCAGCAAACUAGCGCUUUCAGAGAGAGACCCCCAAAAAGGGAAAAAAAAAAAAACCUCAAUCUUAUUGCAUUUCCUUUUCAACUCAAGCUCUGCCCCUAUCCUUAUUUUUCAUAAAAAAAAAUUGAUUGAAUUAAUUUUACAGUUUACAUAUUAAGCAUUUUCUUGAAUUUUCUAUUUUACACUUCCUAAAAGCCUUACCCAAAUAGUUUAUUAUAAAGUGAUUGUAAUAUCUCUAUUUUGGUUUGACGGCUUAAAAAUAAUUGUUUAUUCGUUUGCUUUAAUUAUAUACCAACUUAUGAUCUCCUAUUUGAUUGUUAGGGAACUGAGGUGCUCUAGGGUAUCUCCUUGGAUAUGAAUAAAGUCAAUAGAGAGAUACACAUGAAUUCCAAUGCUUUCUCAAGGAUGCCUAAAUUGAGAUUCUUGAGAUUUUAUGGAGAUAAGAACAAAUGUAUGGUGUCUCAUUUGGAGGGUGUGCCAUUUCCUGAAGUGAGGCACCUCGAGUGGCCUCAAUGUCCUUUGAAAACGUUGAAUAUUUGUGCGGAGAAACUUGUUUCACUUAAAAUGCCUUGCAGCAAAGUCAAACAACUUUGGGAUGAUGUUCGGGUAUAUAUUUAUUCGAAAUUCUUUCAGUAAUAAAUUCUAAAUACAAUUGAUGCUAUAAUAAUAUAUGUGAUGGUGUCUGUUUAUUUAUAAAGAUAGUAAUAAUAAUAAUAAUAAUAAUAAUAAUAAUUUUUUGGGGUACAGGAUCUUGUUAACUUAAAAGAAAUAGAUCUCAGUGGAUCCGAGUCAUUAACGAAACUUCCAGACUUGUCACGGGCCGAAAAUCUUAAGAUUCUGAGGUUAGACGACUGUUUAAGUUUGACGGAGACUCACUCAUCUAUUCAAUAUCUAAAUAAACUUGAAUUUCUUACUCUAGAAAUGUGCAAAAGCCUGACGAGUCUUCCAACUGGCAUUCAUUCGAAAUAUCUCAAGAUACUUAAUCUUUGGGGUUGUUCAAAUUUGAAUAACUUCCCAGAGAUCAAAUCUUGUCAUAUAUGUAUUUUUGAGUUAGCAAAAGUUGGAAUCAAAGAACUGCCCUCAUCCAUCGAGUGCCUAUCCAAUCUGCGAGAACUACUUAUUAUGGACUGUUCUGAGCUUGAGAGCAUCUCGAGUAGCAUAUUUAAGUUGAAGUCUCUUAAAUCUAUUGUAAUCUCUCAUUGUUCAAAUUUUAAGAGGUUUCUAGAGAUCAAAGAACUGCCCUCAUCCAUCGAGUGCCUAUCCAAUCUGCGAGAACUACUUAUUAUGGACUGUUCUGAGCUUGAGAGCAUCUCGAGUAGCAUAUUUAAGUUGAAGUCUCUUAAAUCUAUUGUAAUCUCUCAUUGUUCAAAUUUUAAGAGGUUUCUAGAGAUCAAAGAACUGCCCUCAUCCAUCGAGUGCCUAUCCAAUCUGCGAGAACUACUUAUUAUGGACUGUUCUGAGCUUGAGAGCAUCUCGAGUAGCAUAUUUAAGUUGAAGUCUCUUAAAUCUAUUGUAAUCUCUCAUUGUUCAAAUUUUAAGAGGUUUCUAGAGAUCAAAGACCUUGCAGAGGUUGACCGUUGAUAGAACUGCUAUAAGAGAAGUACCAGAAAGCCUCGGUCAGUUAGCCAUAUUACGUCGGUUGAAAUUGACUAACUGUUCAGGGCUUGAGAUCAUCUCAAGUAGCAUAUUUAAGUUGAAGUCUCUUAAAUCUAUUGUAAUCUCUCAUUGUUCAAAUUUUAAGAGGUUUCUAGAGAUCCCAUCUGGUAAUACAGAUGGAAGUACUAGAAUUGAGCGACUAGCAUCAUCUAAGUUGAUAUUGGAGGGAUGUUCAAGUCGCCAGAGUCUCCCAAUAGACAUGUUUUCGUUCAAAUCUCUUCUUUCUAUUAAAAUCGUUCAUUGCCCAAAUAUUGAGUCUCCCAAGCAGCCUGUGUAUGUUCAAAUCUCUGAAAUAUCUUGAAAUUGUCGAUUGCCAAAAUUUCAAGAGAUUGCCUGAUGAACUUGGAAAUUUAAAAGUCUUGAAGAGGUUGACCAUUGAUGGAACUGCUAUAAGAGAAGUACCGAAAAGCCUCAGUCAGUUAGCCAUAUUACGUUGGUUGAAAUUGACUAACUGUUCAGGCCUUGGGAGAAUCUUGAGUAGCAUAUUUAAGUUGAAGUCUCUUAAAUCUAUUGAAAUCUCUAAUUGUUCAAAUUUUAAGAGGUUUCUGAAGAUCCCAUCUUGUAAUAUAGAUGGAGGUACACGAAUUGAGCGACUAGCAUCUUUUAAGUUGAGAUUGGAGUAAUGUUCAAGUCUUCAGAGUCUCCCAAGCAGCCUGUGUAUGGUAAAAAAUCUGACAUCUCUUAAAAUCAUUGAUUGCCAAAAAUUCAAGAGACUGCCUAAUGAGAUUGGAAAUUCAAAGUGCUUGACGGUGCUGAUAGUUAAAGGAACAGCUAUAAGAGAAGUACCAGAAAGCCUUGGUCAGUUAUCCUCACUAGAAAGUUUGGUACUAUCUAAUAACAAAUUAGAGAGAUUACCAGAAAGCUUCAAUCAGUUAUCCUCACUAGAAUAUUUGCAACUAUUCGAAAACAGUUUGGAGGGAAUACCAGAAUACCUAAGGAGUCUUCCAAGUAAGUUGACAUCGCUCAAUUUAUCUAUUGACUUGAGAUAUUGUUUGAAAUUGGACCCGAAUGAGCUCAGUGAAAUCGUCAAAGAUGGGUGGAUGAAGCAGGUGUGUCUCUUAACUCACUCCUUUCAUUCUAUUUUCUGUUUACUUUAAUUCAAGUUAUCAUUAUUUUUCAAAAAUUAAUAAUUUUUUAUUUUUGUGUUGCAGUCGUUUGAUGGUAACAUUGGGAUCGCUAAAAGUAUGUAUUUCCCUGGGAAUGAAAUUCCAAAAUGGUUUAGGUAUCAAAGUAUGGGAUCUUCUGUAACCUUGAAGACGCCACCAACAGAUUUCUUAAAUAAUAAAAUAUUAGUAGGCUUUGCUUUUUGCAUUGUAGUAGCAUUUCCAGCCUCAGAGUACUUUGAGUAUCAAAUCCCAAGGAAAUCUCGACCGUCGGUCUUUCGGAAGUAUAAAGUGUUCUGUGAUUGGAAACACAAAUCCCAAGGAAAUCUCGACCGUCGGUCUUUGGGGACAAUUAGUUAUGUUGGGUCAGAUCAUGUGUUUUUGGGAUCUUAUUUAUGAGUCAACCUACCAUGCAGCGCUGUAUCUGAUACAGCGCAUGCAUGCAACCGGUACAACCGGUUUUUAACCGGAUAAUAUAAUGAAAAUUAUGUUUUUAUUUGUUUUUAGUGUGAAAAAUUUAUGAAAGAUUUUGAAAAAAAAAGAUAAAAUUGUAAUUAAAUGAGGAAAAAGAUUGUAAUAAUUUUAAAUUUAAAAAUAGUACAAAAAAUAUAAAUAUAUCAUAAAAUUAUUAUAUUCCUACUUAUUUUGUCACAUUCCAAUAUUUAUAAUGCAUAUUUCAAGUUUACUUUUUAAAUUCCUAUUUUUCGUGGUUAUUUAUCUAAAUUUUAGUACGCUGUUUCAACUCGUUUUCCCACUAGUUUUUGGUUUCAUAUAUCCACUCUUUUCAUUAACUUCCAGCUUUUUAGGUGUAUAUUUCAAGUUUAUUUUUAUAUCUCUGUAAUGUAUUAAACUUUAUCUUUUUUUUAGAAAAUUGUUCUGAUUUAUUUUUCUACCACUUUUUGGUUCUAUAUUUCUACUAUUUUUAUUGAAUUUCAAUAUUUUGGGUAAAUAUAUCAAGUUUAGUUUUUAUAUCCUUACUUCUCAUUUGAAUUUAUUAAAUUCUUGGUAAAUUAUUUCAACUUUUGGGUUAAUUUUUUCAACUCUUGUUCCUACCACUUUUUAGUUCUAUAUUCCUACUCUUUUUAUUGAAUUCCAAAAUUUUGUUUGGAUAUUUCAAGUUCAAUUUCUAGAUCCCUACUUUCCGUUGGAAUUUAUCAAAUUUUUGAUAAGUUAUUUCAACUCAUUUUUCCAUCAGUUAUUAGUUCUUUCAUUAAAUUUCUAGUUUUCAGGUUGAUAUUUCAAGUUUAGUUUUUAAUCUCAAUAGUCUAUUAGACUUUAUCUAAUUAUUGCUAAGUUGUUCCAACUUAUUUUUCCACUACUUUUGGUUCAAUAUUCCUACUAUUUUUAUUGAAUUCCAAUAUUUUGGGUAAAUCUAUUAAAUUUGCUUUUUAGAUCCCUACUUCGCGUUUAAAUUUAUCAAAUUAUUGUUAAGUUAUUUCAAUUUUUAGGUUAACUUCUUCCACUCUUAUUUCACCACUUUUUGGUUCUAUAUUCCAACUAUUUUCAUUGAAUUCUAACAUUUUGCUUGGAUAUUUCAGGUUUAUUUUCUAGAUCUCAACCAGGGAUGGCAAAAUCCGAGUCCGGGUCCGGGUUUUGCCUUCCCAAUUCCGGACCCGGACGAUAAAUUUUAAUACCAGACUCGGAUGCAAACCCGGAUAUUUUUCAUCCGGGUCCGGACCGGGUUAAACCCAAAAAAAUCCGAGUUUCCGGAUUCCAGGUUUAUAACCCGGAUGAUUGCUAAAAGAUGCAAUUUCCCAUCUCUUUCUUCAGUGAAGAAUUCCUUUCUAAUCUUCUAUCUAUUAACACCAAUAAUGAAAAAUAAUUCAAAAUCAAAUACUUAGAAAUAAAAUCCAAGAUAACAUAUUACACAAAUUUAAUUAUCAAAGAUAAUCAUGAUGUCUCAACCAUGAUGAUGACAAAUUUGGCAAUGAAUGAUGAUGACAAAUUGGGCUUUGUGGGGUUAGGUCAAGAAAAGGGGAAGGAUAAAUGGCGGCUGAUUUUUUUUUUUCCUUCCAAAAAGCAAAUGAACAAACAACUGGGAAGGUGUAAAUGAAGAAACAGAGACAAACGCAUUCAUAAGUGCCCGUCAAUUUAUCAACAAAGAACUUGUCGAGGACAAAGCAAAACACCAGGGGGUGGAAGUGUUGGCGGCCAAAUCGAGAUCCCGAUUUGCGAAGGUGGACAAACGGAAACGGCGGCCAAAACUCAUGACAUAGCUGGACAAACAGCAGCUGAUGAUGAAGAUGAAGAUGAACACGAACACGACGAAACGAUGAUGAGCAACGAUGAUGAUUUGUUGAAAAGAAGGGCUAAAGAGAGAUAGAGGAAAUGUCUGGGUUUGGUUUGGCUGCCGUGGCUGUGGAAGGGCAUUAGGGCUGAUUUUUUCUAAUUUUUUUUUAUUUUAAAAUGAUUUAAAAAUUAAUAUUAAAAUAUUUAUCCGGGUCCGGGUUCCGGAUAUGUGGGUUUAUCCAAAUUCGGACCCGGACCCGGAAACGUCCGGGUUGAAAAUUUUGAAUCCGGAUACCGGAUUUUAUUUACUCCGAUACGGGUUAAACCCGCCCCGGAUUUUUCGGGUUCAUCCGGGUCCGGGUUAAAUUGCCAUCCCUAAUCUCAACUACUUGUUAAACUUUAUUGGAUUCUUGUUAACUUCUUCAAACUUUUAGGUUAUGCUCUUCAACUCUUGUUUCCACCAUUUUUUUGUUCUAUAUUUCUACUCUUUUUACUUAAUUUCAAUAUUUUUUGUGAAUGUUUCGAGUUUAUUUUUUUAUCCCUAAUUGUUGUUGGAUUUAUCAGAUUUUUGGUAAUUCUUUCCGAGUUUUAGGUUAAGCUUUUCAACUCUUUUUUCCACCACUUUUUGGUUUUAUAUUCCUACUCUUUUCAUUGAAUUCCAAUAUUUUACAUAGAUGUUUCAAGUUCAUUUUUUAAAUCAUAUUUAUUGUUGAAGUUUAUCAACUGCUGUACGGCCAAGGCGGAUGUACGGUACAGCAGCGUUGGAAUUUAUCAAAUUUUUGAUAAGUUNNNNNNNNNNNNNNNNNNNNNNNNNNNNNNNNNNNNNNNNNNNNNNNNNNNNNNNNNNNNNNNNNNNNNNNNNNNNNNNNNNNNNNNNNNNNNNNNNNNNNNNNNNNNNNNNNNNNNNNNNNNNNNNNNNNNNNNNNNNNNNNNNNNNNNNNNNNNNNNNNNNNNNNNNNNNNNNNNNNNNNNNNNNNNNNNNNNNNNNNNNNNNNNNNNNNNNNNNNNNNNNNNNNNNNNNNUAUUGAAUUCCAACAUCUGGGUGAAUGUUUCCAGUUUAUUUUUUAGAUCUCUAUUUUUCAUUGGAAUUUAUCAAACUCUUGUUAAGCCAUUCCAACUUUGGGGUUAUAUUUUUCCACUCCUUUUUCACCAUUUAUUGGUUCUAUGUUCCUAUUCUUUUUAUUGAAUUUCAACAUUUGGGUAAAUAUAUCAAGCUCUGUUUUCAGAUCCCUAUUUUCUAUUAAAAUUUAUCAAAUUCUUUGUAAGUUGUUCCAACUUUUGGGCCAACGUUUUCAACUUAUUUUCUUACCAAAUUUUGGUCCUAUAUUCCUACUCUUUUUUAAGUUUGUUUUUAAAAUCUCUAGUUUUCAUUAGAAUUUAUCAAAUUCUUUGUAAGUUGUUCUAACUAUUGUGUUAACCUCUUCAACUCUUUUUUUCCACGAUACUAUAUUCAUACUCUUUUUAUUGAAUUCCAACAUUUAGGUGAAUGUUUCAAGUUUAUCUUUCAGAUCACUACUUUUCAUUGGAAUUUAUCAAACUCUUAUGAAGUUAUUCCAACUUUUAAGUUCUGCUUUUCCACUCCUUUUUCCAUCAUUUUUUGGUUCUAUAUUCCCACUUUUUGUAUUGAAUUCCAAUAUUUUGAUUAGAUGUUUCAAGUUCAACAUUUGGGUAAAUAUAUCAAGCUCUGUUUUCAGAUCCCUAUUUUCUAUUAAAAUUUAUCAAAUUCUUUGUAAGUUGUUCCAACUUUUGGGCCAACGUUUUCAACUUAUUUUCUUACCAAAUUUUGGUCCUAUAUUCCUACUCUUUUUAUUAAAUUCCAAUAUUUGAGUAAAUGCUUCAACUUUAUUUUUUAGUUCUCUACUUUUCAUUAGAAUUUAUUAAAUUCUUGUCAAGUUGUUUCAAUUUAUGUGUUAAGCACUUCCACUCAUUUCCUACAAUAUAUUAGUUUUAUAUUCCUACUCUUUUAAUUGAAUUUCAAUAUUUUAUGUGGAUGUUUCAAGUUUAUUUUCCAGAUCCCUAUUCAUUGUUGGAAUUUAUCAGAUUAUUGGUAGAUACUUACAACUUUUGGGUUAAGUUCUUCAACUAUUAUUACCACCACGAUUUGGUUAUAUAUUCCUACUUCUUUUAUACUAAAUUCCAAUAUUCUUGGUUAAUAUUUCAAGUUCAUUUUUAAGAUCUUCACUUCUCAUUGGAAUUCAUCAAAUUCUUUGUAAGUUGUUCCAACUAUUGUGUUAACCUCUUCAACUCUUUUUCCACGAUACUAUAUUCCUACUCUUUUUAUUGAAUUCCAACAUUUAGGUGAAUGUUUCAAGUUUAUUUUUCGGAUCUCUACUUUUCAUUGGAAUUUAUCAAACUCUUAUCAAGUUAUUCCAACUUUUAAGUUAUGCUCUUCCACUCCUUUUUCCACCAUUUUUUGGUUCUAUAUUCCCACUCUUUGUAUUGAAUUCCAAUAUUUUAAUUAGAUGUUUCAAGUUUAUUUUUUAUAUUCCUACUUUCUUUUAAUCAAUUUCAACUUUAUUUUCAAGAUUUUUUGGUUACAUAUUCUAACUCUUUUAAGUGUAUUCCAAUAUUUUGGCUAAUGAUCCAAGUUUACUUCAUAAAUUCAUGAUUUCCGUUAUAAUUUUUCAACUUUUUAGUAAAUUAUUCCCACUUUUAGGUUAAGUUAUUCCUACUCUUUUACACCAUACAAUGGUUUUAUGUUCCUAUUAUUUUCAUUAUAUUCCAACACUAUAGAUACAUGUUCCAUGUCCUUUUUUUCCACUAAUAAUAAUAUUACUUUUUUAAAAUAACAACAAUAUCAGUAAGGCCAAUUAUAUAUAACCCCUUAUUAUUUUAACAAAUAUCAAUUUACUAUAAAAUACUGAAAUUUUUUUUAUUGCAACCCUUUAUCAUUUUCAACGUUUUGGGUCCUUAAUUUAAUUCCUUUUUUUUUUAAUCUUCGUUACUUCAUGAGUUCUUAUGAAUUUGAAUGUAUAUAUACUUAAGCUUUUAAUCUUUAUACAUAUUUAUUAUCAUUUAAUCAUUUUAAUUAAUAGUAUUUAGUUAUAUUUAAAAAAAAAUUAUGCAUUUAUUUCCAUCUUUCUCUUUACUUUUCAAACUAAAUGCUUUAAUUUUUCAUAACUUCAACGGUAUAUAAAUAAAUAACAAUUGAGAAUGAUUGCAAUUGUAAAUGAAAUUAUCAUGCCCUAUUAAGUUAUCCAGUGCACUAAAAAAUUAACCAAAUCAAAAUUUUCAUCCAUUUGUAUAUAAGAAUUUUUUACAAGCUUCUGGGAAAAUAAUUUUUGUAUCCAUUCGUUUAAAUUUUUUUCAUUCUAUUUCUUUUCAAAUAAUUAAUUUCUUUGAAUUCAACCAAAAUUCAUUUUAACAGCUUUGCAUGCAAUUGUUAUACUCCUCAAACAUUUUAUUUAGUUAUUAAACUGCUGUACCGUACAUCCGCCUUGGCCGUACAGCAGUCCAAUAUUUUUUGUGAAUGUUUNNNNNNNNNNNNNNNNNNNNNNNNNNNNNNNNNNNNNNNNNNNNNNNNNNNNNNNNNNNNNNNNNNNNNNNNNNNNNNNNNNNNNNNNNNNNNNNNNNNNNNNNNNNNNNNNNNNNNNNNNNNNNNNNNNNNNNNNNNNNNNNNNNNNNNNNNNNNNNNNNNNNNNNNNNNNNNNNNNNNNNNNNNNNNNNNNNNNNNNNNNNNNNNNNNNNNNNNNNNNNNNNNNNNNNNNNNNNNNNNNNNNNNNNNNNNNNNNNNNNNNNNNNNNNNNNNNNNNNNNNNNNNNNCCAAAAUAUUUUAAAUUAAUAAAAUUGAAAUUAAUAAAAUUGAUGCUAAUUUAUUUGUAUUAAAACAUCAUUUUUUUCUAUCAUUUCAACUUGAUUAGAUUUCUUUUUUUUUUUUUAACGUAAUUUUGUUUAUACUUACUUUUGAUGUUUCGAUAUGUUACACCAAAAUAUACUUUUUUAUCUCAAAAAUAAAAGUAUAUUAAGUCAAUUAUUCAAUUACAAAAUUAGUUCUUCAAUUUUUCUGACUUGACUAAAAUUAUUUUUAAAAGUUUUUUACAGCUUAAUUUGGUACUAAGAGAAUAUCACUUUUUAUUUUUAACAUCACUUUAAUUGUUGAAUUUGGCAUGUCUUGAUUGGAAUGGUAGGUAAAAAAACUUAACCAAAUCAAAAUUUUCAUCCAUUUGUUUAUAAGAAUUUUUGUGCACCAAAAAUUUAGGUAAACUAAAACUUCCAUUCAUUUAAACAGAUGUAAUAAGACAAUUAGAAUUUUUCACAAGCUUGUGACCAAAUAGCUUCACAAAAUUAAAUCAAUUUACAGCUUCCACAAACUAAGACUCAAUUUAAAAAAAUCGUUAUUCAUUAGUUUGAGAGAUUGUUUUAAUCAUUAAUUUGAUAAUCCAUACUUGAUCUUUUGACCUCUACAUAAACAUUUGUUCAGUAGAUAUCAUAUAAAAAAUAACAAGUAAAUGUUUCUUUAUUUGAAAAUAGCAACUCAAAUCAUAUUACAUGUUACAACUAUAAUCCAAGGAAUUAAGACAAGCAACAAAAUCCAAUAAACAAUAAAGCAAAUAAAAUUAAAUCUAACAAUCAAACAACUACAAUUUCAACUGAAACAUUAGAGACUAUGCAAGUUUUAUAUCAUUAAAAUAUCUCCUAUAGCUAAAAGAAAAAUGCUAAUCAAUUACAUUGGCAAAAAUACUCAAUUAAAAUUGAAUCUUCUUCGCAAUGCUGAAACACUAGUUGAAGUUCCCAUUAGUAAUAUCACUGAAAUAUAAUCGAAACUUUAGACAUUACAGAAUUACUUAAAAAUAUACAAAAAAGGAGUAGAUUACUUUACAAUUCCUAAGAUAUUGUAAUACCACAAAUAUAACAAAUUAAAAUAACAAGAGUUCAAUCUCUAAUUUUCUACCAUUUCCAUUCAUGCUAUGAAUUAUUGUUUCAUAUCAUAUUUUUAUUUACUCCUAUGAUUAAAGAAAACUGUAAUGAGCAUAUCAAAAUCCUCCACAUGAAAAAUUAAAGAUAGAAACUCAAGAAAAAAAAUGGAAAAAGAAUGAAAAAUGGGAGAGGCUGCAACAAAUGACUGAACAUGGACAGCAUUCAUAUCAGGAAGCAAACAAAUGUUUAUGCAAAAUAAUUUAAGAAAUAUUAAGGAGCCACAAAACAAAGUCAUCACAGCUAAUUCAAAUAAUCGAAACCAUAUCUCAAUCCAUAAACAAUGACACAAGAGGUUACAUAAAAUUAGAGGAAAAAAGACAGUGCUACCAGUUCAAGCACUAGAGAGUGGAGACUGAAAUAGAAAUUGAAAGGCGGAGACACAAAUUAAUUUGGCAUCACUUCCAAAUUAUCCAUCACCAUGUAAGUCACCAUGCAUUAGCCAUCCUCACUUUUCUGGUUUUUAAGAAUCCUUACCAAGCUUUCACAGCUUGAGCAAAUUGUCAUUUUUUCAUUUUAAGACAAUAAAUAAGAUGAAGAUAAAACCUUCUGCUUUGCGACAUUUUGUCCUUAUUGGAAAAGGGCUUACUUGCUCCUCUAACCUACAAUUUUUCCAAAGUAAUAAGAUUUUAGAAAAUACCCAUGAUCAAUUGUAAACUCAAAGCUUCAUACUUAAUCCAUCAAAAAUAUAGAGCAAUUACUCAAACACCUAUACUUAAUCGAUCAAAAUACAGAUCAAGGAUAUACAAAAAGAAAAGAUUAAUGUGUCAUAAAAAGAUAUUCCCAAUAUUUUGAAUUAAUUAGAGACUAAGAACUAUGGACAACAAGCAUAAACCUGGCAGUAAUGACAUUUGAUAAGCAUGUCCAGGGCAUUACCCAAGUGAUAUUAGCAAAAGUAAAUCUUGAUAAAACAUUUCCAAAGACAAAGAGUCAAAUACAAUGGCAACCCUCACCACCCAUGAAUUCUUACAUACACAUUAAAAUUAAAUCUCAGCUUUUUUAUAUUAGAAAUUAGUAACCAGUCUCAUCUGAAUUCUGUAGUAUUUCCUACUUUAGAUCAAUUUGUAGUAUGUUGUACGUUUAUGCUUGGCCUUAAUGAUUACCAUGGUCAGUCUGCUGUACCGUACAUCCGCCUUGGCCGUACAGCAGAGUUCUUCAAUUUUUCUGACUUGACUAAAAUUACCAUGGUCAGUAAAGAAUUAGUGAAAUAAAAUAAUUGAACUUAAAAGCACUUGUUAGAAAGAAAUGGAUGCUAAAUUACUAAAUUACUAAUACACACCUAAAGAUCCAUGGUCAUGCUUAUUCUAUAUAUAUUAAAAAAAAAUCAAAAUGUGUGUGUGUGUUUUUAAUAACACAUCAUCAUUGAUAAAACAAACCUCAACAACCAAGUCUAUAACACAUCAUCACUGAUAAAAGAAGCCUCAACAAUCAAGCCUACAUAAACAAGAAUUUAUGAAGAUAUAAAUAAUACAGAAUUACUGGCAAGCCUAUAUAACCCAAACAAAUCACUUUUGGCUAUGUGGUUGAUAAAAUAAGAAUUUAGGCAUUAAAUCAUUUGUAAAUUAAGAUGCAAAAUAUCAAGUGCACAAUCAAUUUACUUCUUCUAAUCAUACUGCAUAGGAAUAAAACUUUGUAUCGUUUAGAGUACCAAAAUUCCAUCUUGAAGAUGCAAUUAAAGUGAACAACUCAAAACAAAUUAAAUGAAACUCUAAACUAAUUAAACAAGCAUUAAAUCAAAAUCUAACCGUGGUGUCACUAGAGGAAAUACCUAAAUUUCGAGAAUCAAAGUUGAUGAAAGCUGAAAGGCUUCUGUUUGUUCUUCGUUCUUCAAGAAUUAAAGACGAAAUUAAAAAAUGAGAGCUGUAAAUUGAGAAGAAGUGUUGAAUCACUAAUUAGAAGUUAUUAUUAAAAUGAAAUUGAUGAGAUUUUUGUUCUUUAUUGUUAGAAAAGAAAGAGAGCAACCUUCACCCUUUGAUUCAACUCGCUAGUCUAGGGUUUGUGUGCAGAGAGAGUUCAUGGAGGAAAGUGACAAGACGGUGAGGGCUGGUGCGCUGGUGGCUGAUAUGCAGGACGAGGACGGCGACGGGGACGGCGACGGCGACGGAAACGGCGACUGCGAUCUAGUGCCGUUGGAACGAAGAUGGCGCGACUACUAGGAUGGUGGCUGGUUUGUGAUGCUUGAGCACGGCUAAGGCGAGGGCCUAGGAUUUUCAACAAUAUGAAUUACUAAAGUGUUUAUAUUUUCGCGGUAAAAAAGAAAAGCUAUAUAAGGUUUUCAAUUUUAUAUAGGAAAAAAUUUCAAAAAAAUUAAAAUUUAAUAAAUCAUUCUUUCAUAUUGGCGGUAGUUUUACCGCCUAAAUCAAACCUUAUUACAUUUCAUUCUAAAUGUUUAUUAUAGUAAUACAAAUAAAAAUAUCAAAAAAUUAUUAAUACGAAUCAAUUUAAUAAUAUUAUCCUUAUACAAUUGGAUACAUAAUUUAUAUUCUAUCUGAUGACUUAUUUUUAUAUGUUUAUAUUUCAAUGAUACUUGAUUUUAUAAUCUACCAAUAUUGUAAUAAUUUUGUAACACUAAUAAAUGAAUUGAACAACAUUUAGUAUACAAAUAAUAUAACGAAAUAUAAUAUUGUACAUUACUCAAAUAAUUUGAUUUAAUUUAAAAACGUUUCUAAAUUAUUCAAUAUUAGUAGUAUUUAGAUUGUAAUUACCCAAGGUUAUGACAAAAAGUAUAUUAAUACCUCAUGAUUUAGUGAAACUGUUAUAUAAAUCUUGGUUUGAAUAAUUAUGUUCAUAUGGAAUACCGGUGGGUCACUUUAGCUAAAGGACAUAAUUGUCUAAAAAGAGGAAUAUGUGAUUAGUUUUUAAAAUAAUAAGGGUCUUCGAGAUAAUUUCACAAAACACGGGCUCGUUGUUAUCUCUUUUUCUAAUAAUUACAAUGCAAUGUGAAUAAGAAUUGUAAUUAUAAUUAACAAUAUUACUCAGCUCCAAGGGAACGGUUGGAUGGUUUUUUCAUUUAUUGCUACCGAGUAAAACUCAUGAGAGAUUGUAAGAGUUAAAAAGUUAUAUUUGUCCUCUCCCAACCAUACCCCUAAAAUAAUAAUAUUAAAUUAAAUAUUACUAAAAAAAUAAUAAUGUCAUAACUGAAUUUAGUUUAAUCGAAUUAAUAUUGACCAAGUGCUAGCCAUGAUAGUUAUUAACAACUUUUUUUUAAUAUUGAUUAUACAUCAAAUUAUCACAAACGAGAGAUAUUUCUGUUCUACUCGCAUUUCGCAAGGGAAAAAGACUUGCAAAUAACUCCACACGAUCAUGCAUAAUGUUUAAUUGAGAGAGUUUGAGUCCAUGAGAUCUCAAACCCUACCGUCACAAUCCUGCUUAACUGUGAGGGUAGAGAUUCACCGCUAGGCUAAAGGUCCAUUGGAGUUAUUAACAACAUAAAAAAAGGAAAAGACUUAGGUGGCGUUUGUUUUUUUGUCUGAAAUCUGAAUAGAUCUGAAUUAGUCUGAAUUCUGAAUAGGUCUGAAUGUCUGAAUCUGAAUAAUAUGUUUGUUUUUUCAUCUGAAUAUCAGAAAAUAAGUAUUAAGUUGUUUGUUUUUUUUUAACUUAAAAAGCUGAAAAUAUGUACUUUUACAUUUGUAUCCUUAUUAAAUUUGAAUGUCAAAUAAAUAAUAUAUUAAAUACCACAAUAUUUUAACAUUUAUAAGUAAAACUAUAUUCAAGUGAAUACAUAAUUAUUUUAAAAUUUUAAUCUGCUGUACGGCCAAGGCGGAUGUACGGUACAGCAGAAAAUAUGUACUUUUACAUUUGUAUCCUUAUUAAAUUUGAAUGUCAAAUAAAUAAUAUAUUAAAUACCACAAUAUUUUAACAUUUAUAAGUAAAAUUAUAUUCAAGUGAAUACAUAAUUAUUUUGGAAUUUUAAUAUAUAAAAUACCAUAAAUUUCAAUUUUAUCGUAUAUAAUAUAAGAAAGAAAAAACAAUGAUAUUUUUAUGUGGGGUAAAUACCUAUGGGUGAGUUUUGGGAUAGAUAUGAAAAAUAAAUUAUAAAACAUGGAUAUUUUUGACAUUAGCAAGUAAUUGACUUAAUUCAGAUUUCUCCAUUAAGUAAAAAGCCAAAAAAAUUAGCUUAUUUUAUUAAGUCAAAAUUAUCUAAAAAGUCUCAUUAAGUUAUAAAAACAAACACCUCUAAUUAACUUAAUUAAUUAAGUUAAGUCACUUUAAGUCAUUAAGUUAAAAAACAAACGACACCUUAGUGUAUGAAUUAUGAUAUCAUUAAUCACAAUAACACUAAUAUAAAUAGAUUAAAAAUUAACAAUACGUACUUAAUUGUCCAUUACAAGUAUUUGAAGAAAUUAUUGUGACUUAAAAAUAGUGAAUAAAUAAAAUCAUAAAAGUAAUACAUAAUAUAAUGAAUAAAGUAAUUAAUUUCACAUUAAUUUCUAUGAAUUAAUGUACACAAGAGAUUUUUUUUAGUAUUAUUUAAAAAUAUCAAACAUUAGAUUUUUUAUACUUGUCUAAUAUAAAAAUAUUAUAGGUCUAAAUAUUUAUACUACAUUGUAUUAUCUAAAAAUUGAUAAAAUAUUAUGAUAAUUUUUUAAAUGUAAAACAUUCUUAACUUUAUAAUGUAAUAUUAAAAAUUAAUUGGUCAAUUUAUUAAUUUAUAUUUAAAUAUUAUUCUAAUUAGUAUAGAAGUCCCAUAUAUUUUACGUGUUUUCAUGUUAUUCGGAGAAAAAAAAAAAAGAAAGUAGUGUAUUUUCAAGUUAAAUUGAGGGGUUCUUUCGUAGUGUUCUACUUUGAAAUGAUUAUUUUGAUAUUUAUUUGAAAUGAGGGUAGCUGUAUGAUAAUUACCUUUAAUAUUUACCUGUUUCAUAAUUGAAAUCGGUGGCCGGUUACAUCCGCAAUAAUAAAAAAAAAUAAAGGCAGCUGCAUGACAAACAGAGCUGUAUUACAGGCCGACCCCUUAUUUUAUUGGGUUCUGAGGAUUUAAGUAAGAGAGAUGAUGAGGUCUCUUUUGAUGAGGUCUCUUUCUACAUUUCGCCUAUUUACGGUGAAGAUUGUGAAGUGAAACAAUGUGGGAUUCAUUUUGUGUACGCUCAAGAUUCU